ACUCAAAUGAAUUGACGGGGACUCGCACAAGCGGUGGAUUAUGUGGCUUAAUUCGUCGACAAACGAAGAACCUUACCAAGAUUAGAAAUCCAACUGCAUCUCUAUCGAAAGACUGAGAGCCUUCGAGGGUGUUGGACAGGUGAUGCAUGGUCGUCGUCAGUUCGUGGUUUGAACUGUUCCCUUCAGUGGGGUAACGAACGCAACCCCCGUUGCCUGUUAUAUAUGUCAGGCGAGACUGCUCCCUCACGGGAGAGGAAGGUGGGGAUGACGCCAGAUCAGCAUGUCCCUCUGAUAUCUUGGGCUGCACACAUAAUACAAUGGUAGGUCACAGAAGGACGCAAUACCGCAAGGUGGAGCAAAUCCCUAAACCCUACCUCAGUACGGAUUGAGGUCUGCAACCGACCUCAUGAAGCUGGAAUCGCUAGUAAUCGUAGGUCAGCUAAACUACGGUGAAUACGUUCUCGAGUCUUGUACACACCGCCCGU
rnacentral:rRNA from 1 species